AAGUUUUGAUGGUUGGUCACGGCCAAAGUCUAGGCCGUGAUGGUCAGCACGGCCUUGACUCAGGCCGUGCUCAAUGUGUGCAACGCGGGCUCUUGUCCGAUCUUGAUGAAUUCUCGUCCGUUUCUGCACGUAUUGAUCUAUAAUUGCUUAAACACCGAUGAUGGUCCUAUAAAUGUUCCUGAAAUGCAAAAGAACAUAAAACACGGGUGAUCUGGGAAUAAAAGCACAAUAAUUGCUAAGAACAUACGCAAUAAUAUGCAAGCAAAUAUGUGUAAAACUAUGCUCAUCAA
rnacentral:lncRNA from 1 species